rnacentral:rRNA from 1 species
CCUACGGGAGGCAGCAGUGGGGAAUAUUGGACAAUGGGCGCAAGCCUGAUCCAGCAAUGCCGCGUGAGUGAUGAAGGCCUUAGGGUUGUAAAGCUCUUUCGGCGGGGACGAUGAUGACGGUACCCGCAGAAGAAGCCCCGGCUAACUUCGUGCCAGCAGCCGCGGUAAUACGUAGGGGGCGAGCGCUGUCCGGAUUCAUUGGGCGUAAAGAGCUCGUAGGCGGCUUGGUAAGUCAAAUGUGAAACCUCCAGGCUCAACUUGGAGAUGCCACUUGAUACUGCCAUGGCUAGAGUCCGGUAGGGGAUCACGGAAUUCCUGGUGUAGCGGUGAAAUGCGUAGAUAUCUGCAGGAACACCCGUGGCGAAAGCGGCGCGCUGGACCGUUACUGACGCUGAGGAACGAAAGCCAGGGGAGCAAACGGGAUUAGAUACCCCGGUAGUCCACGCCGUAAACGAUGGGUGCUAGGUGUCACGGGCUUUGACUCCUGUGGUGCCGUAGCCAACGCAUUAAGCACCCCGCCUGGGAAGUACGGCCGCAAGGCUAAAACUCAAAGGAAUUGACGG